GCUUUCGGGUGUCGCUGAUGGAUGGACCCGCGGUGCAUUAGCUAGUUGGUGAGGUAACGGCUCACCAAGGCCACGAUGCAUAGCCGACCUGAGAGGGUGAUCGGCCACACUGGGACUGAGACACGGCCCAGACUCCUACGGGAGGCAGCAGUAGGGAAUCUUCGGCAAUGGACGAAAGUCUGACCGAGCAACGCCGCGUGAGUGAAGAAGGUUUUCGGAUCGUAAAACUCUGUUGUUAGAGAAGAACAAGGACGUUAGUAANGNNACGUCCCC
rnacentral:rRNA from 1 species